UACAGAGGUCUCAAGCGUUGUUCGGAUUCAUUGGGCGUAAAGGGUGCGUAGGCGGCGCGGUAAGUCGGGUGUGAAAUCUUGGAGCUUAACUCCGAAACUGCAUUCGAUACUGCCGUGCUUGAGGACUGGAGAGGAGACUGGAAUUUACGGUGUAGCGGUGAAAUGCGUAGAUAUCGGAAGGAACAUCAGUGGCGAAAGCGGCCCCCUGGUUGGAUACUGACGCUGAGACGCGAAAGCGUGGGGAGCAAACAGG
rnacentral:rRNA from 1 species